AGAGUUUGAUCAUGACUCAGGAUGAACGCUAGCUACAGGCUUAACACAUGCAAGUCGAGGGGAAACGAUAUUGGAAGCUUGCUUCCGAUAGGCGUCGACCGGCGCACGGGUGAGUAACGCGUAUCCAACCUGCCCACCACUUGGGGAUAACCUUGCGAAAGUAAGGCUAAUACCCAAUGAUAUCUCUAGAAGACAUCUGAAAGAGAUUAAAGAUUUAUCGGUGAUGGAUGGGGAUGCGUCUGAUUAGCUUGUUGGCGGGGUAACGGCCCACCAAGGCAACGAUCAGUAGGGGUUCUGAGAGGAAGGUCCCCCACAUUGGAACUGAGACACGGUCCAAACUCCUACGGGAGCAGCA
rnacentral:rRNA from 1 species